GCGUUGCCUCCGCGCGUUGCCUCCGCGCGUUGCCUCCGCGCGUUGCCUCACAGGCUGUCGCUGCUUGCUCUCUUUAAGUUUACCUCAGCACAGAUUGCAUUCCCCCUUUCACUCAAACUGGACACAGGCUGACCUGUAUGGAUCAACCCCCUGUGAGGAAUCGUGUUUCUUUGGAGAACUUUACAUCAGGACCUGACCAGAGAAUCAAAGAUCGGAAACAUCUUCAAACUGAACUCACCGGAGGUGCAGUGUGUGGAGAGGAGGACCAUGACGAGAGAUGUUUGGAGCUUCAUUCUGUCAAAUACAAAAAGAAAAAUGUCCAGUUCAGUUUGUCGGGGUGUAUCCAGCUAUUCCUCCUGUUUUAUUCUCUCUUACAAUACUGAGUUGACCUGAAAGCGCCGCUUUUAGAGCUGAGGCUCGGCGCUGGGUUUGACCAAAUAAGGGCUGUCCGGCUAUGACGUCAAUAGACUACAUUUAUAGCUGCGUGCUGCACUGAUUACGUGAUUCAUCCAUAUUAGUGUAAUCUGCUGCACAAUACAGAGAUGUCAUGGAAAAGGAAUGCUCUCCUUUAAUCGUCGUUAUUAUUAUUAUUAUUAUUAUUAUUAUUAUUAUUAUUAUUAUUAUUAUUAUUAUUAUUAGUGCACCAAUCAUGUUAGCAGUAUGUUGGAGAAAGAUCAAAUAAAUCUUUAUUGCCAUUGUAGCGACACUCAGUCUACUGCAAGGUUCACAGAGAAAAAUGAUGCCCAGAAUAAAAUGAGUGCAUAAAUAGUA